rnacentral:rRNA from 1 species
CCUACGGGCGGCAGCAGUGGGGAAUAUUGGACAAUGGGCGAAAGCCUGAUCCAGCCAUGCCGCGUGUGUGAAGAAGGCCUUCGGGGUGUAAAGCACUUUCAGUGGGGAAGAAAGCCUUGGGGCUAAUACCCUCGAGGAAGGACAUCACCCACAGAAGAAGCACCGGCUAACUCCGUGCCAGCAGCCGCGGUAAUACGGAGGGUGCGAGCGUUAAUCGGAAUUACUGGGCGUAAAGCGCGCGUAGGCGGUCUGAUAAGCCGGUUGUGAAAGCCCCGGGCUCAACCUGGGAACGGCAUCCGGAACUGUCAGGCUAGAGUGCAGGAGAGGAAGGUAGAAUUCCCGGUGUAGCGGUGAAAUGCGUAGAGAUCGGGAGGAAUACCAGUGGCGAAGGCGGCCUUCUGGACUGACACUGACGCUGAGGUGCGAAAGCGUGGGUAGCAAACAGGAUUAGAUACCCUAGUAGUC